rnacentral:lncRNA from 1 species
UCCCCAGGCCUAAUUCCAUUUCUUGGGAUCGUCCAUUCUCUGACUCACGACAGGGUAUAGGAGGCCUAACCAAUUAUGAGCACAAAGGAGAGAUUAAGUGAACCAUACAUCUUUCCAGUCACUUUGGUCCCCUGGUUUGUGAUGCAGAGUCCUUCAUUCAGUUUCCAGUGCAACCCUUUCUGAUGAAUUCACCCCAGAGUCACUUUUACUAUCAUGGGAUCCAUCAUAUUAAAACGGCACUUAGGAGCUGGGUGAGGCAGUGAGGAGGACAAUGGAAAGACUGAGCAGCAAGAAGAGAGGAGGGUGAGGUGGGAACCCACAUGGCUGAGUGGAAAAAGUUAACUGAACUGCCUUGGAAAUAGGCUCCACAUAUUUUUGGAUCAAGCCUUAGUGUUCUAUCUCGUGUGUUUGACAGAGCGGAUUAUGUUUUAACUUUUCUUCCUCUACCUGACAAAGUUAUUUUGAGGAAUAAUCAUGAAAUGAGGAAUAGAGAUGGAGAGGGUCCAACAAUGUGCUAGCAAAAAGAAGCAGAGGACA